UGCAACGCGAAAACUUACUUACCGUGACAUGCCAGGACCCCUGCUGAGAGUUGGGGUGCUUCGAAAGAGAGCUUGGGCACAGGUGCUGCAUGGCUGUCGUCAGCUCGUGUCGUGAGAUGUUGGGUUAAGUCCCGCAACGAGCGCAACCCUUGUCAUUAGUUGCCAUCAUUUAGUUGGGCACUCUAAUGAGACUGCCGGUGACAAACCGGAGGAAGGUGGGGAUGACGUCAAGUCCUCAUGGCCCUUAUGGGUAGGGCUUCACACGUCAUACAAUGGUCAGUACAGAGGGUUGCCAAGCCGCGAGGUGGAGCCAAUCCCAGAAAGCCGAUCGUAGUUCCGGAUCGUAGUCUGCAACUCGACUGCGUGAAGUCGGAAUCGCUAGUAAUCGUGGAUCAGCAUGCCACGGUGAAUACGUUCCCGGGUCUUGUACACACCGCCCGUCACACCAUGGGAGUGGGUUUCACCAGAAGUAGGUAGCCUAACCGCGAGGGGGCGCUUACCACGGUGGGAUUCAUGACUGGGGUGAAGUCGUA
rnacentral:rRNA from 1 species